UAAUUUGACAAAAUUAUGUAUUAGAUGAUUUAAAAGAGACUAUCAAAAUUGAGGAAAACAAGGAUGAAAUCAUGUAGAAGAACUGAGAGACUUCCAAAAAUUGUUACAGGAAGGACUGAUUUAAAACAGAAUGAGGCCAUCUGUAGAAGAGCUACAAAAUUCCUAAAACCAUUAGAAGAGGAAUUGACUAAAAUAGAAUGGAGUAUUUUGUAGAAGGAUCGCGACAAUUCCAAAUUCAUUACGAAGGGGGGGGAAGAGAAAGGAGGAAGGAGAGGGAGCAAGCAUAAGGGAACACCAUGGGCUAGGAAAUGAGCUAAGGAGUAGAAGGGGAAUCAACACGACCUGCUCUGUCCACAAACCAAGAAGGUGAAUUCAUUUCAUCCCUUU
rnacentral:lncRNA from 1 species